rnacentral:hammerhead_ribozyme from 1 species
AUUCAGUUGACGAGUCCAAAAUAGGACGAAACACGCGUCCUGGAU